UUGAAGAAUAGAGUGCGCUUCAUUGCGGCUCGCCUUCAUAUCCACUCACCCUGUGAACUGUAAUACUUUUUUACAUUAUACUCUACUAGUUGAAGAAUGUACCUUUUAUAAAUUAAAUA
rnacentral:misc_RNA from 1 species